rnacentral:misc_RNA from 1 species
GAAAUUCAAGGACGCUCUUUUUAGAGGUCCGACCAAUUACAUUUUACCUUUCACUCUGUGCACACACUAUUUUUUACACCAAUUUUUAACUCUAUAGUUUAAGAAUGUAAACAAGUCUCGAAAGAGCAACAUAACAAAACAAAACUUUCGGCAACGGAUCUCUUGGCUCU